GCAGUCGAGCGGACUGAUGGGAGCUUGCUCCCUGAAGUCAGCGGCGGACGGGUGAGUAACACGUGGGUAACCUGCCUGUAAGACUGGGAUAACUCCGGGAAACCGGGGCUAAUACCGGAUAGUUCUUUUCCUCGCAUGAGGAAAAGUGGAAAGGCGGCUUCGGCUGCCACUUACAGAUGGACCCGCGGCGCAUUAGCUAGUUGGUGAGGUAACGGCUCACCAAGGCAACGAUGCGUAGCCGACCUGAGAGGGUGAUCGGCCACACUGGGACUGAGACACGGCCCAGACUCCUACGGGAGGCAGCAGUAGGGAAUCUUCCGCAAUGGACGAAAGUCUGACGGAGCAACGCCGCGUGAGUGAUGAAGGUUUUCGGAUCGUACAGCUCUGUUGUUAGGGAAGAACAAGUGCCGUUCGAAUAGGGCGGCACCUUGACGGUACCUAACCAGAAAGCCACGGCUAACUACGUGCCAGCAGCCGCGGUAUAC
rnacentral:rRNA from 1 species